rnacentral:rRNA from 1 species
CAGCCGCCACGGGAAUACGGAGGGUGCAAGCGUUAUCCGGAUUUAUUGGGUUUAAAGGGUCCGUAGGCGGAUCUGUAAGUCAGUGGUGAAAUCUCACAGCUUAACUGUGAAACUGCCAUUGAUACUGCAGGUCUUGAGUAAAUUUGAAGUGGCUGGAAUAAGUAGUGUAGCGGUGAAAUGCAUAGAUAUUACUUAGAACACCAAUUGCGAAGGCAGGUCACUAAGAUUUAACUGACGCUGAUGGACGAAAGCGUGGGGAGCGAACAGGAUUAGAUACCCCAGUAGUCCCUGUCUCUUAUAC